GAUUCUUCUCAAGUUGUCUUCUUUAGCACAACUUCGUCCGUUUCUUCAGUCCUUCAAGCCCUCCCCAACUCCCGACAAGGCUUCAGUUAGUUCAAGGUUGCUGCGUAUUGAAGAGCUUCACUCCUUCAAUCCUUCAAGCCCACCCAGAGUCCCGACCAGGUGACCACGAUCGUGGAGCAAGGCAGCAAGGUGCUGCAUUCCUUUCUCUUCUUCUCUCAGAGUCUUAGAGAUCGAAGGCUCCUUCUCUUCUACUCUUCUUCUUCUUUGGGGCAAUCAAUUGAAUGUAGUGGUCUGGAACAUGCUCUCUUGCUUACAAUUUAUUGUGGGUUUCUCCUUCUCUUUCCUCCAAUUCGAUGUGAGCAACUGACUCAACUGAGGACUGAGCCACUGAGGAACAAUGGUUUCGAAUUUAUUGAAAGAAUAACUAUUAUCAAGAUGGAUCUGUUUAAGGUCAUACGGGUUGGAGAUUAAAAUGGAUCUGUUUCGCUAAGCUGCUCUAUUUUGCUCUAUGGGAGGUGCUGCUAUGUUUUAUACAGUGGGACGGGCUGCUUCGCACCUCAGCAGCUUGAUUAAUAAUAUAUUAAGAAGUUUGCACUAUACCAAUUACAAGAGAAUCAUACUGGCUUGGUGACUUGUCUACCGUCCGAAGCAUUGUACUAGCUGGCUUCUAAUUUUUAGAGCAGAGAGGGUUCGAACUUAUACCUCACCAAACAUUAUAGAUAAGAAAUAUUAUUCGAUAGCUAACAGUUUAUCGUUAAUUAUUUUUUCA
rnacentral:lncRNA from 1 species